GUAGAUCAGGUAUGUAAUUACCAGUGAUACUUUCUCCAUUAAGAAUGAAACAUUAGGAGUGAGGAAGAAGUCCUCCCCCUAACAAUAGUCUUCAAGGUCCCUUCCAAUUCUUAUUUUUUAAGACAUACUAUGUGCCACACCUGUGUUAGAGUCUGGGAACCCAUAGACAAGAGAAGAUACAAUCCUGUACUCAAGGACUUUAAGACUAAGUGAAUAGGCAGACAAGUAAUUAUGCAAUUACAAUGUGAUGUCACAAUAUUUCAUGAUUCUCUGAAGACAAUUCUAUGGGAAAUUGAAGUCUAAGAUGUCAAACAAUUGAUGCACAAACUUAAUCAAGGUAUACCAAGACCUCUGGCUUCUUCCCAGAAAGCUGCUAAAUAUCAGCAAGGACAUGGCUAGAGAUCUUGAUUCUCGCUUUUUUUGAUGUUUCUAUGAAAGAACCAAGAGAGAUUUCUUCAGCAGACAGUGUUUCCAAUGAGUGAAUUUUCUUUAAUAACUCCAAAUUCUUCAGGGAAAACUUCCACCCACACAGCAGUGAUGACUGCUGGUGCUCUGAGGGAAUUACGGCACAUAGUAAUAAAAGAUGUAUAGAAUUUCUACAUCAGCAACGUGAAGUCCAGCCCAGCACCCUAGUAUGGAGAACAGAUGGAGUUCCAGAAGGCUACUGUUUGUGAUUGUCUAAAUAAAAGGAUUCAUCCACGCA
rnacentral:lncRNA from 1 species